CAGUAGCCACGGUAAUACGUAGGGGGCAAGCGUUAUCCGGAAUUACUGGGUGUAAAGGGAGCGUAGACGGUUAAACAAGUCUGAAGUGAAAUGCCGGGGCUCAACCCCGGAGCUGCUUUGGGAACUGUAGAACUGGAGUGUCGGAGGGGUAAGCGGAAUUCCCAGUGUAGCGGUGAAAUGCGUAGAUAUUGGGAGGAACACCGGCGGCGAAGGCGGCUUACUGGACGACAACUGACGUUGAGGCUCGAAGGCGUGGGUAGCAAACAGGAUUAGAUACCCGCGUAGUCCCUGUCUCUUAUAC
rnacentral:rRNA from 1 species